rnacentral:misc_RNA from 1 species
GAUGAAGAACGCAGCGAAAUGCGAUACGUAAUGUGAAUUGCAGAAUUCAGUGAAUCAUCGAAUCUUUGAACGCACAUUGCGCCCGCCAGUAUUCUGGCGGGCAUGCCUGUCCGAGCGUCAUUUCAACCAUCAAGCCCCGGGCUUGUGUUGGGGACCUGCGUCCGACGCAGGCCCUGAAAACCAGUGGCGGGCUCGCUGUCCACACCGAGCGUAGUAACUAACCUCGCUAUGGAGUGGCGCGGGCGCCUGCCGUAAAACCCCCAAUUUCACAAGGUUGACCUCGGAUCAGGUAGGAAUACCCGCUGAACUUAAGCAUAUCAAUAAGCGGAGGA